CUCUCUCUCUCUCUCUCUCUCUCUCUCUCUGAACAGCAUUUUACAUAUUUGAAUGCAUGAGAAGGGAGGGCACAAAGCAAUAGUAAAGUCCUCAAUUGAUUUCUUCUAUUUUCUUUUUCAGCAAAUGUCCCCAGCAGGCCACAGGCAAUUUGAAGCAUUUAUCCAGCCAACCACCGUUUCCCGACCUUCAGUAUUGCCCUCUUCUGCAAAUGCCAACCCCAUUCAACCUGACGCUCCGUGGCUCCCAGACACUUGCCGUUGAGUGCUGACCAGGUGUUCUACUGAGGGAAUCAAACACCGACUAUCCAAAGAGAAAAGGAUGCUUUGUUUUUAUAAUAACGUAUAUUAUUGUUUCCUUCUCCCCUUUCUAUGCAACUGUAAAUUAAUGAACAGAGAAGUAUUUGGAGGUGGUAAAGCAUUUGUCACUGAUUUGUAUAAUACACGCAGCCAUGGGAAAGUGGGUGGGGGCUUUCUAAUAUGAAACUGUCUUUUUAAUAACUGAGAGAAAAAUUGCAUAAGAACUAGACCACUUCACAUUAUUACAUUCCUUCUGCUGUUCAUAUUAACCUUGUAUAACUUCAUUUAUUAUUCGACUGUUUUAUCGUUAUGCUUUGGUUUAUUUAUAAAUUCAUCAGCCACACAACCAAAUAGAUUCUAUGUAUUUGUUUCUAUAAUUUGGCCAAAUCCUUAAGUUCAUAUAUUUGAAUCAAAUGUUUUAUCUGUGUGGAGUAGGCAGCAAUUCUGACUAUACUAUUUAACUUGAGUCAACGUCGUACACAGUCCUUUAAUAACCACUGGAUCACUACACUAAAAAUACUGUGGACUUAAAUGGUAAGCUGCUAGGGUUUAUUUUCUCCUGUUUUCAUUUCUUUUUUUUUUUUUUUUGUAAGUAGAUCUUGACAUCUUUAUUUAUUUCAUCUUGCAAUCUCUAUAAUAAAGAAGAAUGCAUUGCAAUAGUCUCAAAAAAUUAUUUUACCAAGGCUUGCCAUUUAAGCAUAUUUUCAUUUCGACCUAGAAAACAUAGUUGUUAGAAACAACCCCUCCCAGUACUUGCAACCUUGGUUUUCAUUAUAGAACACACAGCAGACUUUGCCCAUUGUGAGACCAGAGCACAUCAUGGUCUUCAGUUUCCUUUGAGUAGACUUUUAUUGUUGUUUUUGUAUUUUUUUUCAAGUUCUCUGUAAGCUUUGAAAGCUCUGGUCGUUUCCUUUACGAAAGCAGACAGAUACUUAGUGACUGUCUCAUUUGACACUCUGGAGCAGUCAGUCAGACGUCAUGACCCCCCCUCACUUGACCAGCAGCACAUCUGGGAAGGAUGUCAAUCACAAGUCCACACCACUGCUUCUCAAGAAUGAAACUAAUGCUUGGAUGAUUGUAUCUUUCCCUCUACUUCUGAGCGCGUUCACUAGAUAUUUACUUGUUUUGCCUUUCCUUUUCUUUUAAUUUAACAUUUAAUUACCAAUUUUAGAGAAACCAAAAAUAAAAGUAAAGGUAAUAUGUUUUGAUUCAAACAUAUAUGCUUUUAAAACAUCAGGACAUGCUAACUUUAUGUUCUCUUUCACUGGGAUCUGGCCAGAAGGAGGCUGAAAGUUAGAAAUCGCUAUUCUUUUAGGAUCGGUUGGGUGGGUUGGGGGGACAAGGGUGUCUAUUUGCAGCAUAGAUAUUUUGAGACGAAGAGAAUUGUUUUAUAUAAGAGGAGAGCCAUGAUCACCUUUCUACCUCAGAACCAUCCUCCUCCAUCGUGUUGGACAUAGCUUUAUAUGCCGCAGUGUGCAAAGGCUAGGGCUUUCAUCAGACCAUUUCAUACCCAGGAAAGCACCUGUUUAAACAUCAUCAACAAAAAAAAAAAACUCCCUGAACUCAGAACCCCAAGUUGUAGAUUUGGUGUCUUUCUUGUUCUUGCUUUGAGGAGUCGUGUAUUCUUUUAUUUCCUGCCUGUGUUUGUAUGCAAAAAUGAUCUCUACCCGCUAUUACAGAAAAAGCUACACAAAACACUACAUUGUAACCUUCUGAGUAAUGAAUAAGAAGAAAUAUAUUACAGUAACCAUGAUGAGAAAUAAGUGUAUUGUUCAUUUGAAAUAUGUGGUUAAAAAAAAAAAUCUAAUCACAGACUGUCAUCUAAUCUGUUACAUACUGUAUUUUUCAUCCUGAAUAAAAGUAAUUUUAACACAAAAUGA